CGCCAAUCACAUGGAACAUGCUAUUGCAGUUCAACUGAUAUCCAAAUGAUGUCUGUGCUUUGUGAGAAAGGAUUUUCUUCUACAAUCAUAGUUGUCUAGAAUUUACAGUAGCAAUUAGUUUGGUUUUACAUUUAAAAAAAAACAUUACUUUGAACAUCAAUAUGGCAGCAUUUUGUUUUUUUAUUUCAUCUCUCUUGUUUUUUUAUUUCAUCUCUUGUAUUAUUAUUUUUAAUUCAAUAUAGCAUCAACAUUACCUUCCAGCUUCUGUAGCUAUGGGCAAACAACCUACUAUUUGACUUGUACAAUAUGUUGAAAUUGCAGUUGUCCUCCAUGUAGAUGAUGGCGCAGAACUUGAUGCUUUGCAAACUUUGGUGAUUUGUCACUGAUGAGGCUGGCAUCCAUGAUGGAAUCGGUUGUCCUCGAUGUAGAUGAUGGCGCAGAACUUGAUGCUUUGCAAACUUUGGUAAUUUGUCACUGAUGAGGCUGGCAUCCAUGAUGGAAUCUGGAUCUUCAAUACAGUUGAAGAAUGACCCGGAAACCCUCAGUAUCCGAGAGAAACGUAGGAAUGAAGAUAUCAAAUGCUGAAGCCAAUACUGAUUCUACUGUAAAAGAACCAUCGAAUUUUGAGGUGUUACAUAUAUAUAUCAUUCAUACUCAUGUUUAUAUCUCAUUGAAUAUGGUCAAUGAUAGUUACAUCAUCUUAUACCUUGAUGACAAGGAGGUGGUCUUGUUCAAGUUAAAUCUAUUACUAUAUACUAAUUGAAGAGACUUUUUCAAUACUUUGCCAUUUCAUCCCACACUGUUUUUUACAUCAUGCCUCAGGCCCUGGAGCUUCUUCUUCUGGUAUCUCUAAUGCGGCAGCCCUCACUUCAAUAAAUUUCUUCUCCAUGAUGAACGAGGGAUACGGAGGUAUGACUAGUGCAUCAUCUAACCACUUCAUCCCCCCCUGUCAAAAGGAUGUUAUUUGUUAAUAGACUAUUACGCUUUCUUUAGAAUCAAAUAUAUCUAGAAGAAUUCCUUACAUUUUUGGUGGUGUGUGCACACAUCACUUUUAUUUGCUGAUAGGUUUUAGGCUGUGUGUUCAUCUCUGUGCAUAUAUGGUUGUAUUCAUGCAUGAGCUCCUCAGCUGGUACUUCCAGUGUUUGCCGUAAAACCAGUUUAAGGAUCACCAAGUCCAGUAGCUGUCACCAUGAAAAAAAGAAAGUAUUAGUUGCUCAAUUAUGUAAUAGCUGUAACAUGCAAGUCUAAUCACUGUCACAUGG